rnacentral:tRNA from 1 species
GUCCUCGUAGCUUAAACUAAAGCAUAGCACUGAAGAUGCUAAGACGGGAGCCACCCCCAAGGAC